rnacentral:misc_RNA from 1 species
UGAUUUCUUGUUAAUUUAUGCAGUAGUUUGCAAGUGUUGUUCUUCAUUUGUGGUUCAUUCUAUUUUUUCCUAGGCUUUGAUGCUAAGAACAGUCCUCCUAUUCAUUUCAUUAUUUCUACUUGAUAAAGAUAAACUCAUGACAAAUAGAAUAUUUAGUGAUACCAUAUUAAAGUUAAACAUAAUCCUAAUUUUGUUUUUGUAUAUUGUGAGGGUAGAAGAUAUAAAGAUGUGGCAGGAUUGACACGUUCGUUUAGUUUCAAUAGCAUGUACCAAAAUGCAAUUUUACAUAUAUAUAUAUAUGGGAAAAAUUACAAAAGUCUCUCUCUAUGUCUAAAUUGGUGAGAUGGUGGGGCCUUGGGGGUUCUAUGGAGAUAGAUAAGUUGGUGGCAGGGGUGAAAGAAAAAUAUUAGAUGCAGAUGCAAGUUGUCUUACAGGUCUCUUGAAGUUUUGAUAACUCUCCUUGAAGCCUAAGUUGACAGAAUUUACUUUAAAAUUCAGACAAGUGUUGAAUAUAUUGGUUUUCUUGGCUCCAAUGACAUAAUUUGCAUCAUUAACUAUGAAUAGAAUAACUAGGGAAGAGGAAUUGCUGCUUUUUCUUUUUCUUUUUUUUUGGAUAACUACUUAAAUUUAUGAUAACUGAAAUUCAAGAAACAAAUAAUCAUCCAAAGUGAGACUGACAGACUCUGGUAAGUUUUAUCUAUUAAGUUAUAUAGAAACUCGCAGCCUGCCCAAAAAAAGAGGGACUAAUUAUUUCAAAAUGUGAUAAGUUUCGAACUUUUAUGAAUAUUAAAGUUCAUAAUUGCUGCUAAACUUCACUUAGGACUUCGAUAUGCUGUCCCCAUUUAAGAAUUUGAUAGGUAACGUCAAUUGUCAUUCUGUGUAAUAACUCAGUUACAUUGAAAUUUAUUAUCCUUCUACUUUGGAUGGAGGUAGCGUGCUUUCCAUUUGAAGAAUCAUUAUGUAGAAACUUAAUGUCCUUCUAGUGUCUACUAUAGGAGAGCCUGUGGAAUUCUGAAAUAAUAUGGUUAUCUUUUUUGGGGAGUUGUGGGAAUCAUACAGGAAAGGUUUAGGAUGCAGCUAUUACGGCUUAGGAAAUUGGUUGGAGGAGAAAGAGUUUAAUUUCACUAUAAAUCAGAGAUCAUAAACGGCUGCUCAGUAUUCACCUAGAUUUUAGGCAAAGAUGAAGAGAGUAGAAGAAAAGACAUAAAUAGAGAAAAUCACACUACACUAAGAGGAGAUGGGGAUGCUGUAGAACUACACCCUAGAAAGCAAAUAAACUUUCCAAUUUGUUCAAUAAAGCAUAUCCUAAGAUGCAAUGCUACCUUCUGUUGUGGGAAGAGACUACUUCACAUUGAAGCAUUUCACAAGUUCGCUGCGACCUACAUGCUUCAUCAGCAAUAUUUGUACAAAUUGAGGCUAAUUCACUAAAAUGAAAACUGCUAUUAAUUGGGGAGCAAAUUUCAAAGAUGAAAAGUAAUUAGCAGUUGAGCAUUUGUUAGUUCAUGAUACUUUAUUUCUUUAUUUUUUUGAAGCAUCUCUAGUUGAUUUGCUGAUUGUGCUUGAAAUGUAAUAUUCUCUUUAGGCUGAUCAGUCAGGGACCAU